rnacentral:rRNA from 1 species
AUUGAACGCUGGCGGCAGGCCUAACACAUGCAAGUCGAACGAGUGGCGGACGGGUGAGUAAUGUCUGGGAAACUGCAUGAUGGGGGGGGAUCACUACUGAAAACUGUAGCUAAUACCGCAUACCCUCAGAUGCGCCCAGAUGUGAUUCGCUAGUUGGUGGGGUAACGGCUCACCAAGGCGACAAGCCCUAGCUGGUCUGAGAGGAUGACCAUCCACACUGGAACUGAGACACGGUCCAGACUCCUACGUGAGGCAGCAGUGGGGAAUAUUGCACAAUGGGCGCAAGCCUGAUGCAGCCAUGCCGCGUGUAUGAAGAAGGCCUUCGGGUUGUAAAGUACUUUCAGCGGGGAGGCGUUACCCGCAGAAGAAGCACCGGCUAACUCCGUGCCAGCAGCCGCGGUAAUAC